rnacentral:tRNA from 1 species
GGGGAUCUAGCUCAGGGGUAUAAGCACCUGCCUUGCAAGCAGGCGCAGGCGGUCGUGAGUUCGAUCCCUG